rnacentral:rRNA from 1 species
UGGGGAAUAUUGGACAAUGGGCGCAAGCCUGAUCCAGCCAUGCCGCGUGAGUGAUGAAGGCCCUAGGGUUGUAAAGCUUUUUCACCGGUGAAGAUAAUGACGGUAACCGGAGAAGAAGCUCCGGCUAACUUCGUGCCAGCAGCCGCGGUAAUACGAAGGGGGCUAGCGUUGUUCGGAUUUACUGGGCGUAAAGCGCACGUAGGCGGACUUUUAAGUCAGGGGUGAAAUCCCGGGGCUCAACCCCGGAACUGCCUUUGAUACUGGAAGUCUUGAGUAUGGUAGAGGUGAGUGGAAUUCCGAGUGUAGAGGUGAAAUUCGUAGAUAUUCGGAGGAACACCAGUGGCGAAGGCGGCUCACUGGACCAUUACUGACGCUGAGGUGCGAAAGCGUGGGGAGCAAACAGG